rnacentral:rRNA from 1 species
UACGUAGGGGGCAAGCGUUGUCCGGAAUCAUUGGGCGUAAAGAGCGUGUAGGCGGCUUGGCAAGUCUGACGUGAAGGCCCGCGGCUCAACCGCGGAUUGUCGUUGGAAACUGCCUCGCUAGAGUCCGGAAGAGGAGAGCGGAAUUCCUGGUGUAGCGGUGGAAUGCGCAGAUAUCAGGAAGAACACCCGUGGCGAAGGCGGCUCUCUGGGACGGUACUGACGCUGAGACGCGAAAGCGUGGGGAGCGAACAGG